GCCCCCAUCGUCUAGCGGCCAAGGACGCCACCCUUUCAAGGUGGAGAUCGCGGGUUCGAACCCCGCUGGGGGCACCA
rnacentral:tRNA from 1 species